UAGGAACUCGGCAAAAUUACCUCGUAACUUCGGAAGAAGAGGUACCCCUUCACGGGGGUUGCAAUAGAUUGACCAUGGCGACUGUUUACCAAAAACACAGGUCUCCGCUAAUUCGUAAGAAAAAGUAUGGGGGCUGACGCCUGCCCAGUGCCGGAAGGUUAAAGAAGUUGGUUAGUCCUUGGACAAAGCUAGCGACUGAAGCCCCGGUGAACGGCGGCCGUAACCAUAACGGUCCUAAGGUAGCGAAAUUCCUUGUCGGGUAAGUUCCGACCCGCACGAAAGGCGUAACGAUCAGGGUACUGUCUCGGAGAGAGGCUCGGCGAAAUAGACAUGUCUGUGAAGAUGCGGACUACCUGCACCUGGACAGAAAGACCCUAUGAAGCUUUACUGUAUCUUGGAAUUGGGUUUGGUCUUUGCAUGCCAGGAUAGGUGGGAGGCUUUGAAGAUGAUCUUUCGGGGUCGUUGGAGCCACUGGUGAGAUACCACCCUUGCAAUGAUAAAAUCCUAACUUUGAACCGUUAUCCGGUCAAAGAACAGUUUCAGGUGGGCAGUUUGACUGGGGCGGUCGCCUCCUAAAAGGUAACGGAGGCGUGCAAAGGUUCCCUCAGGCUGGUUGGACAUCAGUCGUAGAGUGUAAAGGCAUAAGGGAGCUUGACUGCGAGACCAACAUCGAGCAGAGACGAAAGUCGGCCUUAGUGAUCCGGCGCUUCCGAGUGGAAGGGGCGUCGCUCAACGGAUAAAAGUUACUCUAAGGAUAACAGGCUGAUCUCCCCCAAGAGUUCACAUCGACGGGGAGGUUUGGCACCUCGAUGUCGGCUCAUCGCAUCCUGGGGCGGUAGUACGUCCCAAGGGUUGGGCUGUUCGCCCAUGAAAGCGGUACGCGAGCUGGGUUCAGAACGUCGUGAGACAGUUCGGUCCAUAUCCGGUGCAGGCGUUAGAGUAUUGCGAAGACUCCUCCUUAGUACGAGAGGACCGGGGGGAAUGCACCUCUGGUGUACCAGUUAUCGUGCCAACGGUAAACGCUGGGUAGCCAAGUGCAGUUUGGAUAACUGCUGAAAGCAUCUAAGUAGGAAGCCAGCUUCAAGAUGAGUACUCUCACCGCUUCAAGCGGGUAAGAUCACGGCAAGAACAGCCGUUUGAUAGGCAUCAAGUGUAAGUGCAGUAAUGUAUUCAGCUGAGAUGUACUAAUAGAUCGAGGGCUUAU
rnacentral:rRNA from 1 species